AAAGGGAGCGCAGGCUGCACUUUAAGCGUGUUGUGAAAUGUACCGGCUCAACCGGUAACGUGCAGCGCGAACUGGGGUGCUUGAGUACGAAGAGGGAAAGCGGAACUCGUGGUGUAGCGGUGAAAUGCUUAGAUAUCACGAGGAACUCCGAUCGCGAAGGCAGCUUUCCGUUUCGGAACUGACGCUGAGGCUCGAAAGUGCGGGUAUCGAACAGGAUUAGAUACCCUGGUAGUCCGCACGGUAAACGAUGGAUGCUCGCUGUUGGAUAUUUUUAUUCAGUGGCUAAGUGAAAACGUUAAGCAUCCCACCUGGGGAGUACGCCGGCAACGGUGAAACUCAAAGGAAUUGACGGGGGCCCGCACAAGCGGAGGAGCAUGUGGUUUAAUUCGAUGAUACGCGAGGAACCUUACCCGGGCUUGAAUUGCAGCUGAACGAUCCAGAGAUGGUGAGGCCCUUCGGGGCAGCUGUGAAGGUGCUGCAUGGUUGUCGUCAGCUCGUGUCGUGAG
rnacentral:rRNA from 1 species